UCCAGACUCCUACGGGAGGCAGCAGUGGGGAAUAUUGCACAAUGGGGGAAACCCUGAUGCAGCAACGCCGCGUGAGUGAAGAAGUAUUUCGGUAUGUAAAGCUCUAUCAGCAGGGAAGAAGAUGACGGUACCUGAUUAAGAAGCCCCGGCUAACUACGUGCCAGCAGCCGCGGUAAUACGUAGGGGGCAAGCGUUAUCCGGAUUUACUGGGUGUAAAGGGAGCGCAGACGGCAGUGCAAGUCUGGGGUGAAAGCCCGGGGCCCAACCCCGGAACUGCUCUGGAAACUGUGCGGCUAGAGUACUGGAGGGGCAGGCGGAAUUCCUAGUGUAGCGGUGAAAUGCGUAGAUAUUAGGAGGAACACCAGUGGCGAAGGCGGCCUACUGGACGGUGACUGACGCUGAGGCUCGAAAGCGUGAGGAGCAAACAGGAUUAGAUACCCCCGUA
rnacentral:rRNA from 1 species